AUUGGUUGAAAAUCGCCCCCUUGCUUUGGCUGUGCAUGCAAGUGGGAUUUGACGCCCAGAACCCCCAGGGCCUCAGCUCACCACACACUGCUUCAUAUGCAGCAGUGAAACCCGGGCCCCAACAGGU
ensembl:snoRNA